ensembl:lincRNA
AUGAGGGGAGAGUGGCUUAAACCUGUUAUUUCCCACAAGUUUUAUCUCCAUUCUUCAAACCCAGGUCAACACCCUGAAACCAGGGCCAUGGGAAGCCCUCUCUCCUUGUUCCCCCAACUCUCUCUCUCUCACAGAAAAGGAGCCCUGCAUCCCUCCCUGAGGCCAAGGGGCUACUCUAAAAACUGCUCUAAGAACACUACCACUUUCUACAGGACACCUGAGGUCCCAACGCCCAUGUAUCUCUCAGUGCCUGUCUGGUCCAGAGGGAGCCAGUGGCUCUUGCCAGCACAUCAUCAUUUUGUGCUCCACGAGGGGGUGGUCCAUGGAGUCAUCUCAACUUUCAGCCCAGACCUCACUCACUCUUUCUCCAAGCCACGCCAACAUUCCUUGGUCUCUCCCAAGCCAGGAGACAGCCUCGUUUCCUCUAGAUCAGAGAGAUGGCUUCUGGAUUCAUCUUUCCCUGCAAUCCAGCUUCUCCUCCUGGGGCCCUCAUACUGGAGACUGGGAUCAUCAUCCAGGCUUUUGCACUGGGCCAGGAAUUUGGGAGUCAUCCUGGAUCCGUCUGCCCCUGUCAACCUUUCUCUGUCAAUGGAUAUUUAUUGGGCAUCUCCAACAGCCAGGCCCUGUUCAUGGUGCUGAAGAACAGCAUGUAUAAAACAACCCUGCCCUCACAGGGCGAUCACCAGUGACCUGUGGUGUGGAGUUUCCUUUUACCUCUGUCUCCUCCUUCCCACUCUCACCAUCCUUGGUCCUCCUCUGUCACCUGGAAUACUCCACUUGGUAACCAGCAUGAUCUUAUAAUGCUAGUUUUACCCUUGUCAGCACUUUGCCAAAAACCUCAAAUAAAGACUUUUUUUAAAAUGUGCAAUGGAAAAAUAAAGUUAUAAAUUAUAUCAUAACCAUUGGACCUCUUUUUAAAAUGCACUGAAGCCUUAUAAUGUUAUUCAUGGAUAUAUAUCUAUGGUAAAAAUAGAAAAAAUAUGUGAUGGUGGUGCCUCUGAAAGGGAGGGGAAUGGUACUGGGGAAGGGACAAAGGGAACUUCAACUUUAUCGGUAAUGACCUGUUUAUUUUGAAAACUCAAGAGCAAAAUUGACAAAAUUUUAACAGUAACUUAACAAAACCUCAAGUCUGGAUAGUGGGUUCAAGAGUGUUACUUUAUAUGGACAGGCAGUGACUCAUGCCUAUAAUCCCAGCACUUUCAGAAGCCAAGGCAGGAGGAUCUCUUGAGCCCAGCCAUCCUCCCGCCUUGGUCUCUUGAAGUUUGAGACUAGCCUGGGCAGCAUAGUGAGACCCUGUCUCUACAAAAAAAAAAUUAACAGCAACUCAGGAGGCUGAGGCAGAAGGAUUGCUUGAGUACGGGAGGUCAAGGCUGCAGUGAGCUAUGACUGAGCCACUUCACUCCAACCUGGAUGAUAAAGCAAGACUCUGUCUCAAAAAAAAAAAAAAAAGUGUUGCCUGUAAUCCCAGCACUUUGGGAGGCUGAGGCAGGUGGAUCACUUGAGCUCAGGAGUUCGAGACCAGCCUGGCCAACAUGGCGAAACCCUGUCUCUACCAAAAAUACAAAACAUUAGCCAGAUGUGGUGGGAUCAGUCUGUAGUCCCAGCUACUCAGGAGGCUAAGGCAGGAGAAUCACUUGAACCCAGGAAGCGCAGGUUGCAGUGAGCCAAGAUCUCACCACUGCACUCUAGCCUGGGUGACAGAGUGAGACUCCAUCUCAAAAAAAAAAAAAAAAAAAAAAGGAGUGUUACAUUAGUUGUCUAUAUUGUAGAUACACUUGUCAAAAUUUAAGCCAUAAAACCCUCAGUGUCCCUCACUGUUCCCACCCCCUUAGCCUGGCAUACUGGGUCUUUCACAAGCUUGUGUCAACCUCCUCUACAGACUCAUCUCUACACUGAAGGACUUGCAGUUUCCAAGUGCUCUGGCCUUGGGGCCUUUGCCCAUGCUGUUCUCUUCUGAAUGCCCUUUCCUGCUUUGCUACUUUGUUCUUGCCCUUCUGGAUUCAGCUCCUGGGAGGCCCUGUGGAUAGAAGUCAGAUGGCUCAAGUAGGCAGCUGGUUAGGACCCAGGAGACAGAAACGUGUCUGGGGAGGACAACACUUUCUUGUCCUGGUUUCUAUUCAGCUGCAACUAGAGAAACAGAUCACCUGUUUCUUGUUCAAAACUAGGAUCAGUGAGAGGAGGGUGGAAAGGGUAAGAUCCUCCACAGUACCCUCCCACCUCCCAGCCUCUUGCCACAUAGACUAGCCCCAAGGCAGAAACUUCCCAGCAGAAAAAGGAAAACUGAUAACCUCAUUCCUUGGUCUAGCUCUGUUAGGAUUAUCAUCUGGUUUCCCCUGCUGGUGUUGGAAGAGCUGUGUUGGUGCAGGCCAGUGCUAUCCUGUGACUAGAGGGAAG